rnacentral:rRNA from 1 species
AUUGAACGCUGGCGGCAUGCCUUACACAUGCAAGUCGAACGGCAGCGCGGACUUCGGUCUGGCGGCGAGUGGCGAACGGGUGAGUAAUGCAUCGGAACGUACCUUUCAGUGGGGGAUAACGUAGCGAAAGUUACGCUAAUACCGCAUAUUCUGUGAGCAGGAAAGCAGGGGAUCGCAAGACCUUGCGCUGAUUGAGCGGCCGAUGUCAGAUUAGCUAGUUGGUGAGGUAAAGGCUCACCAAGGCGACGAUCUGUAGCGGGUCUGAGAGGAUGAUCCGCCACACUGGGACUGAGACACGGCCCAGACUCCUACGGGAGGCAGCAGUGGGGAAUUUUGGACAAUGGGGGCAACCCUGAUCCAGCCAUGCCGCGUGAGUGAAGAAGGCCUUCGGGUUGUAAAGCUCUUUCGGCCGGGAAGAAAUCGCAUGGGUUAAUACCCUGUGUGGAUGACGGUACCGGAAUAAGAAGCACCGGCUAACUACGUGCCAGCAGCCGCCGUAACAC